rnacentral:rRNA from 1 species
AUUGAACGCUGGCGGCAUGCCUUACACAUGCNNNNCGAACGGCAGCACGGACUUCGGUCUGGUGGCGAGUGGCGAACGGGUGAGUAAUGUAUCGGAACGUACCUUUCAGUGGGGGAUAACGUAGCGAAAGUUACGCUAAUACCGCAUAUUCUGUGAGCAGGAAAGCAGGGGAUCGCAAGACCUUGCGCUGAUUGAGCGGCCGAUAUCAGAUUAGCUAGUUGGUGAGGUAAAGGCUCACCAAGGCGACGAUCUGUAGCGGGUCUGAGAGGAUGAUCCGCCACACUGGAACUGAGACACGGUCCAGACUCCUACGGGAGGCAGCAGUGGGGAAUUUUGGACAAUGGGGGCAACCCUGAUCCAGCCAUGCCGCGUGAGUGAAGAAGGCCUUCGGGUUGUAAAGCUCUUUCGGCCGGGAAGAAAUCGCAUGGGUUAAUACCCUGUGCGGAUGACGGUACCGGCAUAAGAAGCACCGGCUAACUACGUGCCAGCAGCCGCGGUAAUACGUAGGGUGCGAGCGUUAAUCGGAAUUACUGGGCGUAAAGCGUGCGCAGGCGGUUUUUUAAGACAGGCGUGAAAUCCCCGGGCUCAACCUGGGAACUGCGCUUGUGACUGGAAGGCUAGAGUAUGGCAGAGGGGGGUGGAAUUCCACGUGUAGCAGUGNNNUGCGUAGAGAUGUGGAGGAACACCAAUGGCGAAGGCAGCCCCCUGGGCCAAUACUGACGCUCAUGCACGAAAGCGUGGGUAGCAAACAGGAUUAGAUACCCUNGUAGUCCACGCCCUAAACGAUGUCAACUAGGUGUUGGGUGGGUAAAACCAUUUAGUACCGGAGCUAACGCGUGAAGUUGACCGCCUGGGGAGUACGGCCGCAAGGUUAAAACUCAAAGGAAUUGACGGGGACCCGCACAAGCGGUGGAUGAUGUGGAUUAAUUCGAUGCAACGCGAAAAACCUUACCUACCCUUGACAUGUCCAGGAGCCUGAAGAGAUUUGGGUGUGCCCGAAAGGGAACUGGAACACAGGUGCUGCAUGGCUGUCGUCAGCUCGUGUCGUGAGAUGUUGGGUUAAGUCCCGCAACGAGCGCAACCCUUGUCGUUAAUUGCCAUCAUUUAGUUGGGCACUUUAACGAGACUGCCGGUGACAAACCGGAGGAAGGUGGGGAUGACGUCAAGUCCUCAUGGCCCUUAUGGGUAGGGCUUCACACGUCAUACAAUGGUCGGUACAAAGGGUUGCCAAGCCGCGAGGUGGAGCCAAUCCCAGAAAGCCGAUCGUAGUCCGGAUCGCAGGCUGCAACUCGCCUGCGUGAAGUCGGAAUCGCUAGUAAUCGUGGAUCAGCAUGUCACGGUGAAUACGUUCCCGGGUCU